rnacentral:rRNA from 1 species
GACGGGGGGGGCAAGUGUUCUUCGGAAUGACUGGGCGUAAUGGGCACGUAGGCGGUGAAUCGGGUUGAAAGUGAAAGUCGCCAAAAAGUGGCGGAAUGCUCUCGAAACCAAUUCACUUGAGUGAGACAGAGGAGAGUGGAAUUUCGUGUGUAGGGGUGAAAUCCGUAAAUAUACGAAGGAACGCCAAAAGCGAAGGCAGCUCUCUGGGUCCCUACCGACGCUGGGGUGCGAAAGCAUGGGGAGCGAACAGG